UUAUGCAAACCACAUUCAAACAUAUCGUUGCAUUGCUAUUUUAACAGGAUUGUCUGCAUGCUGAACACUUAUGGUGUACAAUGCUUUAAAAUUCUGUUUGGGUUCUUACAUUUUGUUUUAUACACAUUAUCUUUACAUCCCUUUCCAGGUCUGAAUGGACACAGGAGUUGAAUGAAUAAGGAUGCUUUUGGAGAAGCAAUAUGAUAGAAGUGCUGCCUAUGGUUCAGUGUUAGAUGCCUCAAGGCUGAGUUAGGGAAUUACAAGUAGUUCAGCAGUAACAUGGCUAUUCCUUAAUUCACCCAAAGAGACAGGUCACUUUUCUAAAAUCUCCUUGUUUAUUUACCAACAAUGAGAGACUCUACAAGGAAUUUUGAUUUUUAAUUAAAAUAAUUCAUAUAUUACUUGGAAAGAUUAGUGACACACAUUUAGAAACAAAGGGACAUUGAAAAAGACCCACUUUUCAAAAGAUCCAUGGGCUAUUUAGGAACAUAAAAGUUACUAUCUCAUGAAUUUGAUUUAUCUUGAGUGUAAAACUGAGAAGGAACAAAGGCAUUCAUAAACAGACGGGUGGUUCACCUAAAACCAUUAAAAUCAAAUGGGAGUUUUGCUAUAGACUUUUACACAACAUGAACUUAGUCCUCUGAUAGUAUGUUUUUCACUUUGCAUGUUUGUUCAAAUCACAAAAUGCAAGGCAGUUACCUCCAGUGCAUUGAGAAAACACAAAAUUGAAGUCUGGCUGGUGUUGCCAUGCUAUUUUUCAUAUUUUAUGUAAUGGUGGUACCGGUAUAUUAGUUCCGGUCACUGAUGAUGCAGAACAAAUAUGAACUAAAAGCUGUAUUGUUUAACUGAAUUAUCUAUUUUAAUUAUGCAUUUUUCUGUCAUUUUAUUUGUGGUUGGCCUUAUUAUUCUGAGUUUGGAUUCCAACAAGGCUGCUAAGAUCUGGCAGCUGCUACUCCUAGCACUUGUGGAUAACCCUGUCAAACAACAAACUUUGUCAAUUUAUGCAAGAGGAAAUAUAAUAUUCUCAGCAGGACACAGAUCUGUGAAAAUGGCUGAAUGUGAAGCAAACACUUGUAAUCAUUCUACAAAGUGCAAUAGGGAGC